rnacentral:rRNA from 1 species
UACGAAGGGGGCUAGCGUUGUUCGGAAUCACUGGGCGUAAAGCGCACGUAGGCGGCUUUUUAAGUCAGAGGUGAAAUCCUGGAGCUCAACUCCAGAACUGCCUUUGAUACUGAGAGGCUUGAGUCCGGGAGAGGUGAGUGGAACUGCGAGUGUAGAGGUGAAAUUCGUAGAUAUUCGCAAGAACACCAGUGGCGAAGGCGGCUCACUGGCCCGGUACUGACGCUGAGGUGCGAAAGCGUGGGGAGCAAACAGGGU